UAGCGUAGGGUGCAAGCGUUGUCCGGAAUUGAUUGGGCGUAAAGCGCACGUAGGCGGCUUAGCAAGUCGGAAGUGAAAGCCCUCGGCUCAACCCAAGGAAGUGCUUUCGAAACUGCUGAGCUUGAGUAGUUAAGAGGAUCGCGGAAUUCCCGGUGUAGAGGUGAAAUUCGUAGAUAUCGGGAGGAACACCAGUGGCGAAGGCGGCCCGCUGGACAUGUAUUGACGCUGAGGUGCGAAAGCGUGGGGGAGCAAACAGG
rnacentral:rRNA from 1 species